rnacentral:rRNA from 1 species
UUGAAUCCCGCUCAGGAUGAACGCUAGCGGCAGGCCUAACACAUGCAAGUCGAGGGGUAACAUUUGUGCUUGCACAAGAUGACGACCGGCGCACGGGUGCGCACCGCGUAUGGAACCUGCCUUGUACAGGGGAAUAGCCCAGGGAAACUUGGAUUAAUGCCCCGUAGUACCGCGACCCGGCAUCGGGAUGCGGUUAAAGUCUUCGGGCGGUACAAGAUGGCCAUGCGUCCCAUUAGCUAGUUGGUAAGGUAACGGCUUACCAAGGCUACGAUGGGUAGGGGCCCUGAGAGGGGGAUCCCCCACACUGGUACUGAGACACGGACCAGACUCCUACGGGAGGCAGCAGUGAGGAAUAUUGGACAAUGGAGGAGACUCUGAUCCAGCCAUGCCGCGUGCAGGAAGAAUGCCCUAUGGGUAGUAAACUGCUUUUAUACGGGAAGAAAAAGAGCUACGUGUAGCUUACUGACGGUACCGUAAGAAUAAGGACCGGCUA